AUGUUGUUCCAAAUAGAUGGCCAGCAGAUUCUAGCAGCUGCGACGAAGCUGAUCCAACGGAGUUCCUUUCAAAACCAUUUUCUUCACUCAGUCUGAGAGAUAGGCCAUCAUCAAGUUCAUCUUUUAGAAAUAAUUUUAUGUCCAGAAUGAGUGGAACCAAGGGCACCGGAUCGAGGCCAAGAUGGUAGUUAAUGUUGCUUAUUUAAUGACAGUGUGUGCAGCAGCAGCAGCAGUAGCAGGAGGCAAGGUCUUUCAGCUGUAUGUUGGAAAGUUGUAGCCAUUGCCAAUUUACCUGUGAUGUAGAAGAAGCAUGUCAUUUUUGUUGGUCUUUAAUUUCUUGAUGCGGCAAUUCAGUGAAACAAUUAUCGAAAUAUAUGAACCAUUUUUAUUACUUG